ACAUGCGUGAAAACGGUAAGCCCGCGAACUGAAACAUCUAAGUAGCGGGAGGAAAAGAAAGUAAAAACGAUUCCCUGAGUAGCGGCGAGCGAACGGGGAGGAGCCUAAACCGUGCCAGUGCCAAGCGGACAGCGUUGCUGGCACGGGGUUGUGGGACUUCCAUCAGCGGAUUGUCAUAAUGCUUAAGCCGCAUAUGUGUAAGUGGAACCAGCUGGGAAGCUGGACCGAAGAAGGUGAUAGUCCUGUAGAACAUAAAGCGUAUGUGGAGACUGGAAGCACCCGAGUAGCGUCAGGCACGAGGAAUCUGGCGUGAAUCAGCGUGGACCAAAUCACGCAAGGCUAAAUACUGCUGUUGACCGAUAGUGAAGAGUACCGUGAGGGAAAGGUGAAAAGAACCCUGAGCAAGGGAGUGAAACAGAAUUUGAAACCGUGUGCUUACAAACGGUAGGAGCACUUUAUGUGUGACUGCGUGGAUUUUGGUUAAUCAUCCUGCGAGUUAUGGCUGGUGGCAAGGUUAAUAGAACGGAGCCGAAGGGAAACCGAGUCUUAACAGGGCGACAAGUCGCCAGCCAUAGACGCGAAACCUAGUGAUCUAGGCCUGUCCAGGCUGAAGCUGAGGUAAGACUCAGUGGAGGGCCGAACUCACCGCCGUUGAAAAGUUGGGAGAUGAGAUAGGUCUAGGGGUGAAAAGCCAAUCGAACUAGGAGAUAGCUCGUUCUCUCCGAAAUGCAUUUAGGUGCAGCCUUGGCAUGAAGAUAUGCGGGGGUAGAGCUCUGUAUGGUCUAGGGGGCGUACUGCUUACCGAAAUCAAGCAAACUGCGAAUACCGCAUAUUAAUAGCCAGGAGUGAGUCCGUGGAUGACAAGGUCCUCGGACGAGAGGGGAACAGCCCAGACCGCCAGCUAAGGUCCCUAAUUAUGUCUAAGUGGGAAAGGAGGUGGAUAUUCACAGACAACCAGGAGGUUGGCUUAGAAGCAGCCAUGCCUUGAAAGAGUGCGUAAUAGCUCACUGGUCGAGAGUAUCUGCGCCGAAGAUGUAACGGGGCUAAGACAUAAACCGAAGCUGCGGAGGCGUGCUUGCACGCCUGGUAGGAGAGCGUUCUGUAGGCCGUUGAAGGAAUGCCGCAAGGCCAUUCUGGAGGUAUCAGAAGUGAGAAUGCAGGAAUGAGUAGCGAGAAGGCGGGCGAGAAUCCCGCCGGCCGGAAGUCCAAGGUUUCCAGGGGAAGGUUUGUCCGCCCUGGGGGAGUCGGGACCUAAGCAUAAGCAAAAAUGUGAUGGCGAAUGGAAAACAGGUUAAUAUUCCUGUACCGCUGUUAUCGCCUGAGAGACGGAGUAACGCAGGAAGGUAUGCGGGAAGGCUGACGGAAUAGCCUUUCUAAGGGCGUAGCAUGGGCAUGCAGGAAAAUCCGCAUGCCUAAAUGUGAGACCUGACGGGUAAGUGCAUCUUGCAUAAGCCGCAGAUCCUACACUGCCGAGAAAAACUUCUAUCGAUGAGAACCAGCGCCCGUACUGUAAACCGACACAGGUGGACAGAGUGAGAAACUUAAGGCCGACAGGAUAACUCUAGCUAAGGAACUCUGCAAAAUGGCCCCGUAACUUCGGGAGAAGGGGUGCCUGACAUACCUGAAGGGAGAGACGCCCUGAGGGGAAACAGGCCGCAGUGAAGAGUCUCAAGCAACUGUUUACCAAAAACACAGGUCUAUGCUAAGCUGAAAGGCGACGUAUAUGGGCUGACACCUGCCCAGUGCCGGAAGGUUAAGAGGAGGAGUGAGAGCUCCGAUUUGAAGCCCCGGUGAACGGCGGCCGUAACUAUAACGGUCCUAAGGUAGCGAAAUUCCUUGUCGGGUAAGUUCCGACCUGCACGAAUGGUGAAAUGAUUUGGGAGCUGUCUUGGCUGGAGACCUGGUGAAGUUGUAAUGCCGGUGAAGAUACCGGCUACCUGCAGUAGGACGGAAAGACCCCGUGGAGCUUUACUGUAGUUUGGCAUUGGGUUCUGACCGCAUGUGUAUAGGAUAGUUGGGAGACUGUGAAGCCAAGGCGUCAGUCUUGGCAGAGUCGUCGUUGGAAUACCAACCAUAUGCCGUCGGAAUUCUAAUCUGGAAACGGAGACAGUGCUAGAUGGGCAGUUUGACUGGGGCGGUCGACUCCCAAAGAGUAACGGAGGCGUUCAAAGGUUCCCUCAGGCUGGAUGGA
rnacentral:rRNA from 1 species